rnacentral:misc_RNA from 1 species
ACACCUCAACUCUUCAUGGUUUUCUAUGAUGAGCUUGGACUUUGGGGGUUUUUGCUGGCCCUAUGGUCGGCUCCUCUAAAAUGAAUCAGCUUGCCAGUGUUUGGUGGGCAUCACGGGUGUGAUAAACUAUCUACGCUUGUGGUUUUCCACCAGGUAACCUUCGGCAGUGGAGGUUCACUGGAGCUUACAGAUGUCUCUCUUCGACGAGGACAGCCCUUUGAAU